CCUACGGGAGGCAGCAGUGAGGAAUAUUGGUCAAUGGGCUAAGGCCUGAACCAGCCAAAUCGCGUGCACGAAGACGGUCCUAUGGAUUGUAAACCUCUUUUGUCGGGGAGCACCGAGGCCACGUGUGGCCAUAGUGAGAUUACCCGAAGAAAAAGCAUCGGCUAACUCCGUGCCAGCAGCCGCGGUAAUACGGAGGAUGCGAGCGUUAUCCGGAUUUAUUGGGUUUAAAGGGUGCGUAGGCGGAACAUUAAGUCAGGAGUAAAAUCGAGGGGCUAAACCCCUUUAAGCCGUUGAAACUGGUGAUCUUGAGUGAGCGAGAAGUAUGCGGAAUGCGAGGUGUAGCGGUGAAAUGCAGAGAUAUCACGCAGAACACCGAUGGCGAAGGCAGCAUACCGGCGCCAGACUGACGCUGAGGGACGAAAGCGUGGGGAGCGAACAGGAUUAGAUACCCCUGUAGUC
rnacentral:rRNA from 1 species